rnacentral:rRNA from 1 species
UACGAAGGGGGCUAGCGUUGUUCGGAAUCACUGGGCGUAAAGGGCGCGUAGGCGGCUUUAUAAGUCGGGGGUGAAAGCCUGUGGCUCAACCACAGAAUUGCCUUCGAUACUGUAGAGCUUGAGACCGGAAGAGGUAAGUGGAACUGCGAGUGUAGAGGUGAAAUUCGUAGAUAUUCGGAGGAACACCAGUGGCGAAGGCGGCUCACUGGUCCAUUACUGACGCUGAGGUGCGAAAGCGUGGGGAGCAAACAGG